UACGGAGGGUGCAAGCGUUAAUCGGAAUUACUGGGCGUAAAGAGCACGUAGGCGGCAUAGUCAGUCUGAUGUGAAAGCCCUGGGCUUAACCUAGGAAUAGCAUUGGAUACUGCUAAGCUAGAGUGUGACAGAGGGUAGUGGAAUUUCCGGUGUAGCGGUGAAAUGCAUAGAUAUCGGAAGGAACAUCAGUGGCGAAGGCGGCUACCUGGCUUGGUUCUGACACUGAGGUACGAAAGCGUGGGGAGCAAACAGG
rnacentral:rRNA from 1 species